rnacentral:rRNA from 1 species
GAUGAACGCUGGCGGCGUGCCUAAUACAUGCAAGUCGAGCGAACAGACGAGGAGCUUGCUCCUCUGACGUUAGCGGCGGACGGGUGAGUAACACGUGGAUAACCUACCUAUAAGACUGGGAUAACUUCGGGAAACCGGAGCUAAUACCGGAUAAUAUAUUGAACCGCAUGGUUCAAUAGUGAAAGACGGUUUUGCUGUCACUUAUAGAUGGAUCCGCGCCGCAUUAGCUAGUUGGUAAGGUAACGGCUUACCAAGGCAACGAUGCGUAGCCGACCUGAGAGGGUGAUCGGCCACACUAGAACUGAGACACGGUCCAGACGCCUACGGGAGGCAGCAGUAGGGAAUCUUCCGCAAUGGGCGAAAGCCUGACGGAGCAACGCCGCGUGAGUGAUGAAGGUCUUCGGAUCGUAAAACGCUGUUAUUAGGGAAGAACAAAUGUGUAAGUAACGAUGCACGUCUUGACGGUACCGAAUCAGAAAGCCACGGCUAACUACGU